rnacentral:sRNA from 1 species
CUGCUUCUCCCCAGACUAAGGCAGGUGACCCCUAGGGGCCCUGGCUGCCCAGCCUCCCUGCAUACCUCCCUGGGCACUCCUAUGGCAUCUACACUGGCAGCCUGCAGAUCCGAGACUGCCUAGGUCACAACCCCUCCAGCAGGCCCAGAGUCUCCCUGCCCUGGCCACAGGCCAGGCUCCCAAUUAGCCCAGAUGCAUCCUGGAGCACAGGGCCUUAAAGGCCUCCAUUCACCCACGCAUGCAUUCCUUUCCUUCCACCAACGGAGUGAGGGAAUUCACCCUACUCCACACCAGAGAUGUGGCCGGGAUGCAGAGAUGAAGCACUGAGCACAGUAGGUCCACACCUCUGCAUCCCUGCACCAGGACUCACCAAGACGCCCAUCCUGGAAAAGGUCCCCUGUAAGAUGGCAGCAAAAACUCCCAGCAGUGAGGAGUCUGGGCUGCCCAAACUGCCCGUGCCCCCGCUGCAGCAGACCCUGGCCACGUACCUGCAGUGCAUGCGACACUUGGUGUCUGAGGAGCAGUUCAGGAAGAGCCAGGCCAUUGUGCAGCGGUUUGGGGCCCCUGGU